rnacentral:rRNA from 1 species
GAUGAACGCUGGCGGCGUGCUUAACACAUGCAAGUCGAACGAUGAAGCCCAGCUUGCUGGGUGGAUUAGUGGCGAACGGGUGAGUAACACGUGAGUAACCUGCCCUUAACUCUGGGAUAAGCCUGGGAAACUGGGUCUAAUACCGGAUAGGAGCGUCCACCGCAUGGUGGGUGUUGGAAAGAUUUAUCGGUUUUGGAUGGACUCGCGGCCUAUCAGCUUGUUGGUGAGGUAAUGGCUCACCAAGGCGACGACGGGUAGCCGGCCUGAGAGGGUGACCGGCCACACUGGGACUGAGACACGGCCCAGACUCCUACGGAGGCAGCAGUGGGGAAUAUUGCACAAUGGGCGCAAGCCUGAUGCAGCGACGCCGCGUGAGGGAUGACGGCCUUCGGGUUGUAAACCUCUUUCAGUAGGGAAGAAGCGAAAGUGACGGUACCUGCAGAAGAAGCACCGGCUAACUACGUG